rnacentral:rRNA from 1 species
UACGUAGGGUCCGAGCGUUGUCCGGAAUUACUGGGCGUAAAGAGCUCGUAGGUGGUUUGUCGCGUUGUUCGUGAAAACUCACAGCUCAACUGUGGGCGUGCGGGCGAUACGGGCAGACUGGAGUACUGCAGGGGAGACUGGAAUUCCUGGUGUAGCGGUGGAAUGCGCAGAUAUCAGGAGGAACACCGGUGGCGAAGGCGAGUCCCUGGGCAACUCCUGACACUGAGGCACGAAAGCUAGGGGAGCAAACAGG